UGGGGAAUAUUGCGCAAUGGGCGGAAGCCUGACGCAGCGACGCCGCGUGGGGGAUGACGGCCUUCGGGUUGUAAACCUCUUUCGGCCCCGACGAAGCGUGAGUGACGGUAGGGGUAGAAGAAGCACCGGCCAACUACGUGCCAGCAGCCGCGGUAACACGUAGGGUGCGAGCGUUGUCCGGAAUUAUUGGGCGUAAAGAGCUCGUAGGCGGUGUGUCGCGUCGGCCGUGAAAACCUGCAGCUUAACUGUGGGCUUGCGGUCGAUACGGGCAUCACUGGAGUUCGGCAGGGGAGACUGGAAUUCCUGGUGUAGCGGUGAAAUGCGCAGAUAUCAGGAGGAACACCGGUGGCGAAGGCGGGUCUCUGGGCCGAUACUGACGCUGAGGAGCGAAAGCGUGGGGAGCGAACAGG
rnacentral:rRNA from 1 species